AUGGAAAGCUGUUGGGAAGAUUUCUUAUAUUUAAGGUGUUAAAAUUACUUUUCUGUCUUAUUUAGCAAGCCUGCAUAGACUGAAUAGGAGCCAAAGCAGCAGCCUGCCGAAGAAUCAUCCUAAAAUUCACAAGGGUUGUUGUCUCCUAGAUGAUCAUUUCCAGUGUUAC
rnacentral:lncRNA from 1 species